rnacentral:rRNA from 1 species
GACGUAGGGGGCCAGCGUUGUUCGGAAUUACUGGGUGUAAAGGGUUCGUAGGCGGUGCGGCAAGUUGGGAGUGAAAUCUCUGGGCUUAACCCAGAGGCUGCUUCCAAAACUGCUGUGCUUGAGUGUGGGAGAGGCGCGUGGAAUUCCGCGUGUAGCAGUGAAAUGCGUAGAUAUCAGGAGGAACACCGGUGGCGAAGGCGCACAUCUGGCCCGAUACUGACGCUGAGGCGCGAAAGCUAGGGGAGCAAACGGG